AAAGAUUUGCAGCCUAUGGCUCCAAUUGAAGGUGUUAUUCAGGUUCAAGGGGGACAUUACUAAUGCUUGGACUGCUAAAAUGGUCAUCAGACCAUUUCACGGAUGCAAAGCGGACAUUGGUAGCUAAUAAUUCCAUUGGUUCCAAUUGGAACAGGCACAGCAAAUGUAUUAUCAUCAUGCAAUGAAUGUAAAAUUGAAUAGGUCAAAUCACAAGGAUGUCAAAGAAGAUGAAAGCAAUGUUGAUGCAGAGGUUCAGAGGUGACAUUUUAAAAGCCCUUUUGUUAUCUAUAGGUAAGUGUAGAAAAGUGGAAAGGAUCUGUAGUGAGAGUUUGUUGGUGGAAUCCUUUAUUAAUGCUUCCUGCUCAGAGAGUUAUGUAUUGACAAGACUCAAAGAGUUCUGUAAAAACGCUUUGCAAUUCAAUAGAGGCAUCAGCGACAAAAUAAGUUGUGUCGUUGAAACAUA